rnacentral:lncRNA from 1 species
GCCGAGACAAGCCCGGAAAAUUACCGAGACUCGUUCCAUAAUUAACAUGGCAUGACUACUUGCUAAUGUCUAUUUCUAACCACCUAACAUGCAUCAUUAAGUCUCUAAUUUAAUUGAUCUAAACUAAUCUAACCACCUAAUUGCAUUUAAUUAAAUCUAACCAACCUUAAGUAUAAUUAGCAAACUAAGAAAGCUUUAGUGAGUAAAACUCACUUGACAAAAGCGGAGA